ACUCCUACGGGAGGCAGCAGUAGGGAAUCUUCCACAAUGGGCGCAAGCCUGAUGGAGCAACACCGCGUGAGUGAAGAAGGGUUUCGGCUCGUAAAGCUCUGUUGUUAAAGAAGAACACGUAUGAGAGUAACUGUUCAUACGUUGACGGUAUUUAACCAGAAAGUCACGGCUAACUACGCGCCAGCAGCCGCGGUAAUACGUAGGUGGCAAGCGUUAUCCGGAUUUAUUGGGCGUAAAGAGAGUGCAGGCGGUUUUCUAGGUCUGAUGUGAAAGCCUUCGGCUUAACCGGAGAAGUGCAUCGGAAACUGGAUAACUUGAGUGCAGAAGAGGGUAGUGGAACUCCAUGUGUAGCGGUGGAAUGCGUAGAUAUAUGGAAGAACACCAGUGGCGAAGGCGGCUACCUGGUCUGCAACUGACGCUGAGACUCGAAAGCAUGGGUAGCGAACAGGAUUAGAUACCCUGGUAGGAUAGCG
rnacentral:rRNA from 1 species